AGAACGAACGCUGGCGGCAGGCUUAACACAUGCAAGUCGAGCGCCCAGCAAGGGGAGCGGCAGACGGGUGAGUAACGCGUGGGAACAUACCCUCCGGUUCGGAAUAGCUCAGGGAAACUUGGAUUAAUACCGGAUACGGCCUAGCGGCGAAAGAUUCAUCGCCGGAGGAUUGGCCCGCGUCUGAUUAGCUAGUUGGUGGGGUAAUGGCCCACCAAGGCGACGAUCAGUAGCUGGUCUGAGAGGAUGAUCAGCCACAUUGGGACUGAGACACGGCCCAAACUCCUACGGGAGGCAGCAGUGGGGAAUAUUGGACAAUGGGCGCAAGCCUGAUCCAGCCAUGCCGCGUGAGUGAUGACGGCCUUAGGGUUGUAAAGCUCUUUCGCUAGGGACGAUAAUGACGGUACCUAGACAAGAAGCCCGGCUAACUUCGCGCCAGCAGCCGC
rnacentral:rRNA from 1 species